GGCGGCGUGCUUAACACAUGCAAGUCGAACGAUGAAGCCCUUCGGGGUGGAUUAGUGGCGAACGGGUGAGUAACACGUGGGCAAUCUGCCCUGCACUCUGGGACAAGCCCUGGAAACGGGGUCUAAUACCGGAUACGAGCCUGGGAGGCAUCUGCGCAUGGUGGAAAGCUCCGGCGGUGCAGGAUGAGCCCGCGGCCUAUCAGCUUGUUGGUGAGGUAAUGGCUCACCAAGGCGACGACGGGUAGCCGGCCUGAGAGGGCGACCGGCCACACUGGGACUGAGACACGGCCCAGACUCCUACGGGAGGCAGCAGUGGGGAAUAUUGCACAAUGGGCGAAAGCCUGAUGCAGCGACGCCGCGUGAGGGAUGACGGCCUUCGGGUUGUAAACCUCUUUCAGCAGGGAAGAAGCGCAAGUGACGGUACCUGCAGAAGAAGCGCCGGCUAACUACGUGCCAGCAGCCGCGGUAAUACGUAGGGCGCAAGCGUUGUCCGGAAUUAUUGGGCGUAAAGAGCUCGUAGGCGGCUUGUCACGUCGAUUGUGAAAGCCCGAGGCUUAACCUCGGGUCUGCAGUCGAUACGGGCUAGCUAGAGUGUGGUAGGGGAGAUCGGAAUUCCUGGUGUAGCGGUGAAAUGCGCAGAUAUCAGGAGGAACACCGGUGGCGAAGGCGGAUCUCUGGGCCAUUACUGACGCUGAGGAGCGAAAGCGUGGGGAGCGAACAGGAUUAGAUACCCUGGUAGUCCACGCCGUAAACGGUGGGAACUAGGUGUUGGCGACAUUCCACGUCGUCGGUGCCGCAGCUAACGCAUUAAGUUCCCCGCCUGGGGAGUACGGCCGC
rnacentral:rRNA from 1 species